CACGCAGCCCGACUUGAGCGGAGCUCGUUUUUGUUAUUGCAAUUGUACCAAAUUUCAAAGGAUAGCUUUACUUUCUUCGCAAUGACAAAAACAGCGGGAGCGGAAGGCGGAAAUAGCU
rnacentral:misc_RNA from 1 species